rnacentral:rRNA from 1 species
GCGGGGUAACGGCCCACCAAAUCUACGAUCGGUAGCCGGACUGAGAGGUUGAACGGCCACAUUGGGACUGAGACACGGCCCAGACUCCUACGGGAGGCAGCAGUGGGGGAUAUUGCACAAUGGAGGAAACUCUGAUGCAGCGACGCCGCGUGAGGGAAGAAGGUUUUCGGAUUGUAAACCUCUGUCUUCGGUGACGAAAAUGACGGUAGCCGAGGAGGAAGCCACGGCUAACUAC